rnacentral:rRNA from 1 species
AUUCCAGCUCCAAUGGCGUAUAUUAAAGUUGUUGCAGUUAAAAAGCUCGUAGUUGGAUUUGUGGCAGUCGCGUGCGGCCCGGCAUUCGUGCCGGUGCUUGCUAGCGUCGCCAUCCUUGGGUGGAACCUGUGUGGCAUUAGGUUGUCGUGCAGGGGAUGCCCAUCGUUUACUGUGAAAAAAUUAGAGUGUUCAAAGCAGGCUUAUGCCGUUGAAUAUAUUAGCAUGGAAUAAUAAGAUAGGACCUUGGUACUAUUUUGUUGGUUUGCGCACCAAGGUAAUGAUUAAUAGGGACAGUUGGGGGUAUUCGUAUUUCAUUGUCAGAGGUGAAAUUCUUGGAUUUUUGAAAGACGAACUACUGCGAAAGCAUUUACCAAGGAUGUUUUCAUUG